AUUGAACGCUGGCGGCAGGCCUAACACAUGCAAGUCGAAUGGUAACAGGAAACAGCUUGCUGUUUCGCUGACGAGUGGCGGACGGGUGAGUAAUGUCUGGGAAACUGCCUGAUGGAGGGGGAUAACUACUGGAAACGGUAGCUAAUACCGCAUAACGUCGCAAGACCAAAGAGGGGGACCUUCGGGCCUCUUGCCAUUAGAUGUGCCCAGAUGGGAUUAGCUAGUAGGUGGGGUAACGGCUCACCUAGGCGACGAUCCCUAGCUGGUCUGAGAGGAUGACCAGCCACACUGGAACUGAGACACGGUCCAGACUCCUACGGGAGGCAGCAGUGGGGAAUAUUGCACAAUGGGCGCAAGCCUGAUGCAGCCAUGCCGCGUGUAUGAAGAAGGCCUUCGGGUUGUAAAGUACUUUCAGCGGGGAGGAAGGGAGUAAAGUUAAUACCUUUGCUCAUUGACGUUACCCGCAGAAGAAGCACCGGCUAACUCCGUG
rnacentral:rRNA from 1 species